UAUUCUGCCCUACGGGGAAGGAUGAGAAGCUUCGACUAAGGUUCGACUCGAGCGUAGCGAGAGAACGUUGCCGAAGGCAACGGCCCGAAGGGCGAGGCGCUUUAGCGCCGAGUCAUCCUUCCCCCAUCGCUG
rnacentral:sRNA from 1 species